rnacentral:rRNA from 1 species
AUGAACGCUGGCGGCGUGCUUAACACAUGCAAGUCGAACGAAGCAUUUAGGACAGAUUACUUCGGUUUGAAGUUCUUUAUGACUGAGUGGCGGACGGGUGAGUAACGCGUGGGUAACCUGCCUUGUACUGGGGGAUAGCAGCUGGAAACGGCUGGUAAUACCGCAUAAGCGCACAAUGUUGCAUGACAUGGUGUGAAAAACUCCGGUGGUAUAAGAUGGACCCGCGUCUGAUUAGCUAGUUGGUGAGAUAACAGCCCACCAAGGCGACGAUCAGUAGCCGAACUGAGAGGGUGACCGGCCACAUUGGGACUGAGACACGGCCCAGACUCCUACGGGAGGCAGCAGUGGGGAAUAUUGCACAAUGGAGGAAACUCUGAUGCAGCGACGCCGCGUGAGUGAAGAAGUAAUUCGUUAUGUAAAGCUCUAUCAGCAGGGAAGAUAGUGACGGUACCUGACUAAGAAGCUCCGGCUAAAUACGUG